rnacentral:rRNA from 1 species
CACCGCGGUUAUACGAGAGGCUCAAGUUGACAGACAGCGGCGUAAAGAGUGGUUAAGGAGACUAUAAGACUAAAGCGGAACACCCUCACAGCUGUUAUACGCUUCCGAGGGCAUGAACCCCAACUACGAAGGUGGCUUUAUAUUGCCUGAACCCACGAAAGCUAAGAAACAAACUGGGAUUAGAUACCCCACUAUGCUUAGCCCUAAACAUUGAUAGUUUACCACAUCAAACAUCCGCCUGGGAAUUACGAACACUAGUUUAAAACCCAAAGGACUUGGCGGUGCUUAACAUCCACCUAGAGGAGCCUGUUCUAGAACCGAUAACCCCCGUUAAACCUCACCCUCCCUAGUUCUUACCGCCUAUAUACCACCGUCGCCAGCUUACCCUGUGAAGGCCUAAUAGUAAGCACAAUUGGCACAGCCCAAAACGUCAGGUCGAGGUGUAGUGCAUGAGAGGGGAAGAAAUGGGCUACAUUCGCUGCCUGCCAGCGAACACGAAUGUUGUAUUGAAACAUACAACUGAAGGAGGAUUUAGCAGUAAGCAGAAAAUAGAGUGUUCCGCUGAAACCGGCUCUUAAGCGCGCACACACCGCCCGUCACCCUCCCCAAGCACCUGGACCCAAAUUUUCUUAAACCUACACAAACGCGAAGGAGAGGAAAGUCGUAA